rnacentral:lncRNA from 1 species
UGCUAGGGUUUGGUAGUUAGCUGAAGAGGGACAGGGUAGGGUUUGGUAAUUAGCUGAAGAGGGAUAGGGUUAGGGUUCUGUAGUUAGUUCUAGAGAGACAGGGCUAGGUUUUGGUAGUGAGCUGAAGAGGGAAGGUGCUAGGGUUUGGUAUUUAGUUCAAGAGGUACGGGGCUAGGGUUUGGUAGUUAGCUGAAGAGGGACAGGGUAGGGUUUGGUAAUUAGCUGAAGAGGGAAGGGGCUAGGGUUUGGUAGUUAGUUCAAGAGGGACGGCGCUAGGUUUUGGUUGUUAGCUAAAGAGGGACAGGGCUAAGGAUUGG